GUGCUUGAAGGGUAUAGUGACUCAAACUGGACCUCAGAUGCUGAUGAGAUAAAGGCCACGAGCGGUUAUGUAUUCACUCAUGGAGGUGGCGCUGUUUCUUGGAAGUCUUGCAAGCAGACCAUCUUAACGAGGUCAACAAUGGAAGCAGAACUCACAGCACUAGAUACAACUACGGUCGAAGCAGAUUGGCUUCGCCGGCUCUUAAAUGACUUGCCGGUUGUUGAGAAACCUGUACCGGGUAUCCUUAUGAACUGCGACAAUCAAACUGUGAUCACGAAAGUGAGCAACUCAAAGGAUAACAUGAAGUCAUCAAGACACGUUCAGAGAAGGUUAAAGUCUGUCAGGAAAAUGAGAAACUCC
rnacentral:rRNA from 1 species